rnacentral:rRNA from 1 species
ACGACAGUGGAACUGCAUGUGUAGCGUGAAAUGCGUAGAUAUAUGGAAGAACACCAGUGGCGAAGGCGGCUGUCUGGUCUGUAACUGACGCUGAGGCUCGAAAGUAUGGGUAGCAAACAGGAUUAGAUACCCUGGUAGUCCAUACCGUAAACGAUGAAUGCUAAGUGUUGGAGGGUUUCCGCCCUUCAGUGCUGCAGCUAACGCAUUAAGCAUUCCGCCUGGGGAGUACGGCCGCAAGGCUGAAACUCAAAGGAAUUGACGGGGGCCCGCACAAGCGGUGGAGCAUGUGGUUUAAUUCGAAGCUACGCGAAGAACCUUACCAGGUCUUGACAUACUAUGCAAAUCUAAGAGAUUAGACGUUCCCUUCGGGGACAUGGAUACAGGUGGUGCAUGGUUGUCGUCAGCUCGUGUCGUGAGAUGUUGGGUUAAGUCCCGCAACGAGCGCAACCCUUAUUAUCAGUUGCCAGCAUUAAGUUGGGCACUCUGGUGAGACUGCCGGUGACAAACCGGAGGAAGGUGGGGAUGACGUCAAAUCAUCAUGCCCCUUAUGACCUGGGCUACACACGUGCUACAAUGGAUGGUACAACGAGUUGCGAACUCGCGAGAGUAAGCUAAUCUCUUAAAGCCAUUCUCAGUUCGGAUUGUAGGCUGCAACUCGCCUACAUGAAGUCGGAAUCGCUAGUAAUCGCGGAUCAGCAUGCCGCGGUGAAUACGUUCCCGGGCCUUGUACACACCGCCCGUCACACCAUGAGAGUUUGUAACACCCAAAGUCGGUGGGGUAACCUUUUAGGAACCAGCCGCCUAAGGUGGACAGAGAUAG